CCUACGGUGGGCAGCAGUGAGGAAUAUUGGUCAAUGGGCGCGAGCCUGAACCCGCCAAGUAGCGUGAAGGAUGACUGCCCUACGGGUUGUAAACUUCUUUUAUAAAGUAAUAAAGUGAGGCACGUGUGCCUUUUUGUAUGUACUUUAUGAAUAACGAUCGGCUAACUCCUUUCCAGCAGCCGCGUUAAUACGGAGGAUCAGAGCGUUAUCCGGAUUUAUUGGGUGUACAGGGAGCGUAGAUGGGUUGUUAAGUCAGUCGUGAAAGUUUGCGGCUCAACCGUAAAAUUGCAAUUGAUACUGGCAGUCUUGAGUACAGAUGAGGUAGGCGGAAUUCGUGGUGUAGCGGUGAAAUGCUUAGAUAUCACGAAGAACUCCGAUUGAGAAGGCAGCUUACUAAACUGCCACUGACAUUGAUGCUCGAAAGUGUGGGUAUCAAACAGGAUUAGAUACCCUUGUAGUC
rnacentral:rRNA from 1 species